AUUGAACGCUGGCGGCAGGCCUAACACAUGCAAGUCGAGUGUUCGGCGGUCGGGUGUGUUUUUCCUGGGUAUUGCCCCGUCUCCGGGGAUCACAGUUGGAAUCGACUGCUAAUACCGCAUACCUUUGUCUUGCCCAGGUGUGUUUAGCUAGUUGGUGAGGUAAUGGCUCACCAAGGCGACGCUCCCUAGCUGGGCUGAGAGGAUGAUCAGCCACACUGGAACUGAGAAACGGUCGAGACUCCUACGGGAGGCAGCAGUGGGGAAUAUUGCACAAUGGGGGAAAGCCUGAUGCAGCGAUGGCGCGUGUGUGAAGAAGGCCUUCGGGUUGUAAAGCAAUUUCAGCGAGGAGGCGGUAAACGAAGAAGAAGCACCGGCUAACUCCGUGCCAGCAGCCGCGGUAAUAG
rnacentral:rRNA from 1 species